CAGGGGCCUCUGGUCUUUAAUUUAUUUAUUCUUGUUUUAGCAAUUGACUACACAUCAUAGAGGUUCUCUCCAUGUGCCAUCUGCUUUCUUGCAAUUGGAAAUGGUAGAAUAAUUUUCUGAAGAAUUGCUGACAAGAUGUGGCAAGGGAACAGUAAUAUAUAAGGACAAGAUUUCUCAUUAAAGUCACUCAGCUCAUCUGUGAUACAGCAAGCUCUUGAUUUACACUGGUCACCUCUGGAGCAGAGAGGACAGUGGCUGCUAGAAUCAUUCCUGAAAGCUGCCCAAAACCCACAGCCAGCCUAGCGUGAAUUGAAAUUGAUGAGCUGCUCCCAGCUGGAGAGCUUGCUUACAGAUACCUCACUGCAGCCUAUGUGGGGAGAGAGAGCAGGUUACUGCCACCAGCGAGAUACUGUGUCUGUCUGCACACUUGCAAACCUCCAUGCCAAAUCAAGAGCCCUGGAAAGGACACUGUCUGCCUAAGAAGGGACCAAGACCAGAUACUGUCUGGAACUAUAAUGCAGCUCUGGAAAUCCGAAGAUACUAUCUUGAUAAUUGCUGUAUCAUCAAGUGGUAAUCUCAAGAAGAAUGUGAAUAGUCCUGGCUUGCAUCAACAUGGAAUAGAUGUUGCAUUUCUACCAACUGAUUCUAAAUGCACCCUGGUGUGAAAGGUUUUAGACAGCGCAGCUGGUCAGCAGCAGCACUUCAGCUUUUUUACCUCUAGACUUAAAUUAAAAUCCCAAAUGAAGUUGCAUUCCACUCUCCAUAUGUCUGCCUUGCAACACCAUGGCAAAUGGUGUUUUUCAAUUUCUGCUGGAAAAAGGCCCAAAAUAAGUAGAGCAGGAGGUGUUGCACAUUAUUACUAAAGUAUAAAGGCUAAGAAGGGCUAUGAAGUAUAUGAGAUUUCCUUUUUUGUGGCUGUGUGUUUCCUUAGUUUUAUAAUGGAAGGGCCUGAUCCUACAGAGAACAGUAACAGCUCACAUGCAUAAACACAGGUUCACAUGUCUGAGGGCUGAAAUUUUAAAUAGGUUAAUCUAUCAAAAAAUAAGCAUAUCAUUGCUUAGCAGAGUAUGGAUAAAUAAGCAUAUGACUGCUGCAAUGGUGGCAAAAACACUUUUAUUAAUUCCUGAAACCAGAUUCUGGUUUUAGGUAACUGAGGCUUUAGAAGAGGUUUACUAAACAAAUUUUAAU